CCAAAUUGUUUUCAGUUGUUUGGACUCAAUUUUCGGGUCUCUUUUUGUUUUUUUUUUUCCUGGAAAUUAGGUCCGUUGAGUUUUUCUUUUUUCACUAACCCUAUCUUUGGUUGUAGGGCUAUUUUGGUAAUUUGGAUUUUAUCCAAAUUUUAAUUACCAAAUCUGCAACAAGAUUCCUAGGGCCAUUUAUUUAUUUAAUUUCCUUUUACAUCUUUUAUGAUUUUUUAUUUUUG
rnacentral:lncRNA from 1 species